rnacentral:rRNA from 1 species
UACGUAGGGGGGCUAGCGUUGUCCGGAAUCAUUGGGCGUAAAGCGCGCGUAGGCGGCCCGGUAAGUCCGCUCUGAAAGUCCAGGGCUCAACCCUGGAAUGCGGGUGGAUACUGCCGGGCUAGAAUCCGGAAGAGGCGAGUGGAAUUCCUGGUGUAGCGGUGAAAUGCGCAGAUAUCAGGAAGAACACCGAUGGCGAAGGCAGCUCUCUGGGACGGUACUGACGCUGAGACGCGAAAGCGUGGGGAGCGAACAGG